rnacentral:rRNA from 1 species
CGCGUAGGCGGACCUUCAAGUCGGGUGUGAAAUCUGUCGGCUUAACUGACAGUCUGCACUCAAUACUGUUGGCCUUGAGUACAGGAGAGGAGAGUGGAAUUCCUGGUGUAGCGGUGAAAUGCGUAGAUAUCAGGAAGAACACCAGUAGCGAAGGCGGCUCUCUGGACUGAUACUGACGCUAAAGCGCGAAGGCUUGGGGAGCAAACA